GACGAAGGGGGCUAGCGUUGUUCGGAAUUACUGGGCGUAAAGCGUGCGCAGGCGGUUCGUUGUGUCUGAUGUGAAAGCCCCGGGCUCAACCUGGGAAUGGCAUUGGAAACUGGCGAGCUAGAGUGUGGCAGAGGGGGGUGGAAUUCCGCGUGUAGCAGUGAAAUGCGUAGAGAUGCGGAGGAACACCGAUGGCGAAGGCAGCCCCCUGGGCUGACACUGACGCUCAGGCACGAAAGCGUGGGGAGCAAACAGG
rnacentral:rRNA from 1 species